rfam:Brochothrix thermosphacta DSM 20171 = FSL F6-1036 c27, whole genome shotgun sequence.
GCUUAAUUGCUAGCGCCAGUACUUAUAGUUAAAUAAGUAGACGAGGAGAAAGUUAUCGAGGAAUCGGCGGAUACUUUCCGGCCUGUUGGGGUCGAUAUGCGAGGUUAAAACAAGCAGGUGACUGUUUGCACAAGAACCGAGUAAACAACGGU